UUUUUUUUCAGUGAUUUCGUAGAAGAGCUAUUUCUGGUUCCCCAAAGAACCUUUCAGUGAUCAGUUCCUAAAAAGAAAAUUUGUUCUUAGUGUGAAUAUUUUAAAAAUCUUCUGCUAAAAAUAAUUGUAUUUAUUUCUAUUACUACUUGCUACUAUUGCUACUUUAGAAAACAGAUAGUUCUGGUGCUUGAUUCUGAUUGGCUGAGCCAGGUUCAAAGCUGUUCUAAAUUGUGUUACAAAGUAACACACACCUUUGUUUAUGUUUGUGUGUUGCUCGGCAACCACUUUGUAGCAACCAAGACUGUUUGUGAGGAGCUGCAUUGUUUGGCGGAAGAAUACUGUUUUGAUUCAUCUCAUUACACUUUAUUUGCUCAGUUUUAUUUUGUAAAACCUUACUGUGUAUAUGGAAUAACUGUUUUAUUUAAGCAAUAGACCCUGUGAAGCUGUGGUUUCAGUGAAUUUAUAACAGCUAAAGGUUUUUUUUUUUGCUUUGUGUUGGGUCUUGCCUAACAACGACCCUCAGCUGUUAUAAAUUCACUGUAAACAACAGCUUCACUGGGUUUAUUACUUUAUAGAGCCAUCAAAUAAGCUCACCUGGUUAUGUUUCGAUGUGGAAAGCAGUUCAGAAUGGAAAUAUUGAUAUUUUAUUGUUAAUAACAUACUUUUCGUACCUUAAUUUCAGUGAAUUAGAUUAAAUUCAGAGAAAUUAGAGAAACUAAGCCUAGUAGCUGGCGGUGUCAUUUGAUUUGUCUUCGGAUUGUGAUUCAUUUGAGUCAGUUUGGGAGUUCAAAGUGAAAGUGACCUGACAAUCAGCCAAGUAUGGUGACCCAUACUCAGAAUUCGUGCUCUGCAUUUAACCCAUCCGAAGUGCACACACACACACACUGUGAGCACACACCCGGAGCAGUGGGCAGCCAUUUAUGCUGCGGCGCCCGGGGAGCAGUUGGGGGUUGUUUGCUCAAGGGCUCCUCAGUCGUGGUAUUGAAGGUGGCGAGAGAACUGUACAUGCACUCCCCCCACCCACAAUUCCUGCCCGAGACUCGAACUCACAACCCUUCGAUUGGGAGUCCGACUCUCUAACCAUUAGGCCACGACUUCCCUUAGCGGGUUUGCAAAUCAUUUGAGUCAGUUCGAGAGUUGGGAGCGUGAAUCAUUUGAGUCAGUUUGGGAGUUCAAAGCGUGAAUCAUUUGAGUCAUUUGGGAGUUCAAAGCGUGAAUCAUUUGAGUCAUUUGGGGUUUGGGGGUUAAUCAGCAUGAUUAAAAUGUGAUAUUAAGUUACUACAAACAAUAAUUUAAUUACAAAUACAAAAUGUUGCAGAAUAAUGUAAUAUAUGAAUGAAUAAUAGCCUAAAGCAUGUAUCUGAGCAUGCGCAUCUGGUUUUGUAACAAAGCAAAGGAAAUCUGAGUGUGAGCUUAGAGAUUCGCGCUCUAGCUGCUUCUGCACCGUUUACACAUACUGUGCACUGCAGACGGAGUAUAUAUGAACCUGUAUAAUGUAUAACAAAUCUAUUUCAACACCUGAGGCACCGCUACAAUUAAUAAGCUCUAUGAACAAUGCAUGGCAAAAAGAAAAAAAGUCCCUGGACACAGGAUUCAUUUAUUUAUAUAUAUAUUUUUUGUCAUAAGUCUAUAAAGUUUGUUACACCUUUACUAUAGUCAUUAUUUUAACUUAUGUCUGUUGUAGAGACUUUACAACUCUUUGAUAAAGCUCUAAUUGGUUUUCUUUUGGAAAUAUGUUUCAAAUUCAUCCUGAAUGCAUUUAUGACUGUAAAACAUAUCUGUGUGUGUCACAAUUGUUAUUAAAAUCGAAAUCACAAAAUUUAUCAAAGAGGUUGCAAUAGGUUUAUUGUUGUUGAACCCUAGUUCAUUCAAUAAAUACAGUUAACAAUAUAGUUUCUGAGUAUUGAGUUAUUAACCCAACAAUAGUGGGGUCACUUAAUUUUUUUGCAGUGGGCCGCGAGCUGAAAAAGGUUUGGAACCACUGCUUUAUUGUAAGGCCUGUGUGGAUGAUGGAGGACGGAGGUUUAAUUCGACUGACACUCUUUUACCAGCUCCAUUUGCAUCACCCACAAGCUCACACGGCCUUCAUUCAGAGUCGUCACAUCGCUGAGGUUUUGUCUUCUCCAGAUGUUCACUGAUGGACUGGAGUGCUGUGGAUUAUUGUGAUGUUUUUAUCAGACUCUCAUUCUGACGGCACCCAUUCACUGCAGAGCAUCCAUUGAUGAGACACUGAUGCAGUGCUACAUUUCUACAAACCUGAUGAAGAAACAAACUCCUCCUGAUCUCAGAUGACCUGAGAGUGAACACAUUUUUCAGUUUUGUGUGAACUAUUCUUUUAAAAUGUAUGAAAUUGUAACAAGCUGAUGAUAAAUAAACAAACUUUCUUUUCUGUAUGAGUGACA